GACGAACGCAGGCGGCGUGCUUAACACAUGCAAGUCGAACGGUAAGGCCCUUCGGGGUACACGAGUGGCGAACGGGUGAGUAACACGUGGGUGAUCUGCCCUGCACUUCGGGAUAAGCCUGGGAAACUGGGUCUAAUACCGGAUAGGACCACUGCCUGCAUGGGUGGUGGUGGAAAGCUUUUGCGGUGUGGGAUGGGCCCGCGGCCUAUCAGCUUGUUGGUGGGGUGGUGGCCUACCAAGGCGACGACGGGUAGCCGGCCUGAGAGGGUGAACGGCCACACUGGGACUGAGAUCCGGCCCAGACGCCUACGGGAGGGAGCAGUGGGGAUUAUGGAACAAUGGGCGCAAGCCUGAUGCAGCGACGCCGCGUGAGGGAUGACGGCCUUCGGGUUGUAAACCUCUUUCAGCACCGACGAAGCGCAAGUGACGGUAGGUGCAGAAGAAGGACCGGCCAACUACGUGCCAGCCGCCGCCGUAA
rnacentral:rRNA from 1 species